CACCACGGGGUUAUAACCGAUACAUACGGCGAGUGAGCGGCACAGCUCAAAUUUGAAAGCUAGCCUUCGGGUUCGCAUUGUAAUUUGUAGAGGAUGAUUUGGGGAAGCCGCCUGUCUAAGUUCCUUGGAACAGGACGUCAUAGAGGGUGAGAAUCCCGUAUGUGACAGGAAAUGGCACCCUAUGUAAAUCUCCUUCGACGAGUCGAGUUGUUUGGGAAUGCAGCUCUAAAUGGGAGGUAAAUUUCUUCUAAAGCUAAAUAUUGGCGAGAGACCGAUAGCGCACAAGUAGAGUGAUCGAAAGAUGAAAAGCACUUUGGAAAGAGAGUUAAAAAGCACGUGAAAUUGUUGAAAGGGAAGCGCUUGCAAUCAGACUUGUUUAAACUGUUCGGCCGGUCUUCUGACCGGUUUACUCAGUUUGGACAGGCCAGCAUCAGUUUCGGCGGCCGGAUAAAGGCUCUGGGAAUGUGGCCUCCACUUCGGUGGAGGUGUUAUAGCCCAGGGUGUAAUACGGCCAGCCGGGACUGAGGUCCGCGCUUCGGCUAGGAUGCUGGCGUAAUGGUUGUAAGCGACCCGUCUUGAAACACGGACCAAAAAAAACAAAACAAAAACAAAAACGGAGGAAGGGCUUAGUUCUUUAAUUACUUGAUUUCCCGGUUUUU
rnacentral:rRNA from 1 species